CAGAACCAGGACCUGAGAGAAUGGAAGAUUGAUACAACAGCAGCAGAUCUUUAUUGAAUUGUGGUUCUAAGCCACUCAGUGAUUUAUAAACUAACAACAGUAUUUUAAAGUCUAUUCUUUGAGCUAAUGGGAGCCAGUGUAGGGUCUUUAGAAUUGGGUUUAUGUGCUCCAU